rnacentral:tRNA from 1 species
GCGGGUGUAGUUCAUCGGUAGAAUGUGUGCUUCCCAAGCAUGAGAGGCGGGUUCGAUUCCCGCCACCCGCACCA